UGGCCCGUAGUCCAGAUGGUAGAACGGCGGACUGUUAAUCCGUAUGUCGGGGGUUCAAGUCCCUCCGGGCCAGCCA
rnacentral:tRNA from 1 species